UCCGGUUUGUCACCGGCAGUCUCCCAUGAGUCCCCAACUUAAUGCUGGCAACAUAGGACAGGGGUUGCGCUCGUUGCGGGACUUAACCCAACAUCUCACGACACGAGCUGACGGCAGCCGUGCACCACCUGUGAUGGUGUCCCGAAGGAAAGGUGUGUUUCCACACCGGUCACCAACAUGUCAAACCCAGGUAAGGUUCUUCGCGUUGCAUCGAAUUAAAGAACAUGCUCCGCUGCUUGUGCGGGCCCCCGUCAAUUCUUUUGAGUUUUAGCCUUGCGGCCGUACUCCCCAGGCGGAGUGCUUAAUGCGUUAGCUGCGCCACUGAAGGGUAAACCCUCCAACGGCUAGCUCUCAUAGUUUACGGCGUGGACUAC
rnacentral:misc_RNA from 1 species